rfam:Clostridium sp. CAG:221 genomic scaffold, scf32
CCCUUGGAGAGUUAUAUCAAACGAAAGUAGAUUGCUAUAUAUAGUUUUCAAAAUCGCACUCGUGGAACAGGGAA